rnacentral:rRNA from 1 species
GAUGAACGCUGGCGGCGUGCCUAAUACAUGCAAGUCGAGCGAACAGACGAGGAGCUUGCUCCUCUGACGUUAGCGGCGGACGGGUGAGUAACACGUGGAUAACCUACCUAUAAGACUGGGAUAACUUCGGGAAACCGGAGCUAAUACCGGAUAAUAUAUUGAACCGCAUGGUUCAAUAGUGAAAGACGGUUUUGCUGUCACUUAUAGAUGGAUCCGCGCCGCAUUAGCUAGUUGGUAAGGUGACGGCUUACCAAGGCAACGAUGCGUAGCCGACCUGAGAGGGUGAUCGGCCACACUGGAACUGAGACGCGGUCCAGACUCCUACGGGAGGCAGCAGUAGGGAAUCUUCCGCAAUGGGCGAAAGCUUGACGGAGCAACGCCGCGUGAGUGAUGAAGGUCUUCGGAUCGUAAAACUCUGUUAUUAGGGAAGAACAAAUGUGUAAGUAACUAUGCACGUCUUGACGGUACCUAAUCAGAAAGCCACGGCUAGGUACGUG